rnacentral:rRNA from 1 species
UAAGGAAUAUUGGUCAAUGGGGGCAACCCUGAACCAGCCAUGCCGCGUGCAGGAUGACUGCCCUAUGGGUUGUAAACUGCUUUUGUUAGGGAAUAAACCCCACUACGUGUAGUGGGCUGAAUGUACCUAAAGAAUAAGGAUCGGCUAACUCCGUGCCAGCAGCCGCGGUAAUACGGAGGUUCCGAGCGUUAUCCGGCUUUAUUGGGUUUAAAGGGUGCGUAGGCGGCACUUUAAGUCAGGGGUGAAAGACGGCAGCUCGACGGUCGCAGUGGCCUUGAGACUGAAGUGCUUGAAUGCGGUUGAGGACGGCGGAAUGAGGCAAGUAGCGGUGAAAUGCAUAGAUAGGUCUCAGAACACCGAUAGCGAAGGCAGCUGUCUAAGCCGUGAGUGACGCUGAUGCACGAAAGCGUGGAGAGCAAACA